rnacentral:rRNA from 1 species
GAUGAACGCUGGCGGCGUGCCUAAUACAUGCAAGUCGAGCGAACAGACGAGGCGCUUGCUCCUCUGACGUUAGCGGCGGACGGGUGAGUAACACUUGUAUAACCUACCUCUAAGACUGUGAUAACUUCGGGAAACCGGAGCUAAUACCGGAUAAUAUAUUGAACCGCAUUGUUCAAUAGUUAAAGUCGGUUUUUCUGUCACUUAUAGAUGGCUCCGCGCCGCAUUAGCUAGUUGGUAAGGUAACGGCUUACCAAGGCAACGAUGCGUAGCCGACCUGAGAGGGUGGAUGGACACACUGGAUCUGAGAAUCGGCCCAGACUCCGGGGGGAGGCAGCAGUAGAGAAUCUUCCGCAAUGGGCGAGAGCGUGAAGGAGCAAAGCCGCGUAAGUGAUGAAGGACUUCGGAUCGUAAAACUAUGUUAGUAGGGAAGAACAAAUGUGUAAGUAACUAUGAACGUAUUGACGGUACCUGAUCAGAAAGCCACGGCUAACUACGUG